rnacentral:lncRNA from 1 species
UUUAGAGAAAGGGUCUCGCUGAGUUGCUUAGUGCCUUGCUUUUGCUGAGGCUGGCUUUGAACUUGUGAUCCUCCUGCCUCAGCCUCCAGAGCCUUGGGGAUUACAGGCGUGUGCCACCAUGCCUGGCUGGUUGAUAACUUUUUAUAAAGCAUUUACAUUAUAUUACAUAUUAGAAGCAAUCUAGAAAUGCUUUAAGGUAUGUAGGAAGAUGUGCAUAGGUUAUAUGUAAAUACUAUGCCAUUUUGUUUAAGGGACUUAAGUGUCUAUUGAAAGACCUAAGCAAGCUCAUUCUACUUGGGACCUCAUUUUGCUCUGAAACUUAGCCUCUGACCUACUGCUGUCCUAAAGUCAGGAAAAUACCACAGAAAAGCUCUGUGGAAACAGUUCUCGGAAAAGCCGCAGACGGUGAUCACCUAAGAGAGGCCAAGAUAUCGAAAUAUCUGAAAUUCCAGAUGACCCCCACCUAGGUGUGGUGACCAAUAUCUAAACUAGAAGCCCUGCAGCUUGGCACGUACCCCCCUUGCGACACCCUCACGGUUUAAACCCAUCAAUUUUAAGUGCGUCAACCCCUGAACUAACCAAUAAUCCUUUCCAGAUUCUUUCCCACCACUUGAUACGCUAAUCAUGUUUCAGAGUUGUUUUAUGAUUUUCCCGCGGUGUGUGAUGAUUUGCUAAGAGAUGCUAUGAUGUAUGUGGGGUCCCUGCCUUCUCUAAAGAAGGUAUAAAACUGCUGCAAACCCUGGGCAUAACACUAUGGAUCAUGGCUUCCUCCCGGGUCCUGAACCAGUUCCCCACGGGCACUGGAUGUUAGAGGCUUCUGUGUGUAUUUGGUCUGGGACGCUUAGGUGGGGGCAUUUUGGAGCGAGGAUCACUGUGCCAGGCUCUCUGGGCUGGGGCCUCAUCCACCAAGGGUUAUUAAAUAGUGGGGGAUGGGCCUGCCACAGGCCACUCUCUGAGUCAGUCCUUUAGAUAAGGGGAGGACAGGAGUGAGAACCCUUGUUCUCCCAGGGAAAGCUGCGUGCUCCUGCUGUUGGGGGUUUUGUGUGCCUCAUUGUGUAUGAACUUGAGGGUCAUGACGUUUUCUGAGGAAGGCAGGGACAGAUCCUUCCUAGUCUCCAGGCUGCCUGUCCGUGGAGAACAGGGAGUAGCUGCUGUGAGGGCCUGACCGCCACCACCCUCUGCCCCCACCUUUGUUUAAGCCAGCAGUCAGAUUUUCCCAUGUGGAAAUAACCUUUCUUCCUUUCUCAAUUCAAGUGGUCAAGCAGGGUCGACCUCAACUACUGAAGCUGGGGUAGGCGUGUCCCUUGUCUCUGGCCAGUAACGGGCCCCAGCCCCUGGUCACCAUAUAGACUGAUAGACAGAUAUGGGAGCAUUCUGUCAGGAAUGGGGUUGCUAGCUGGCCCAGGACAGGACUGUGGACACAGCUUGCCUGAGUGGAACCAGCCCAAGAACACCAGCUCUGGGGGACAGCGGGAGGCCCUUGGCCUGAAUUUGCUGUGUCUGGUGCUAGCCACACCUCUAGGCUUUAGAGUUCUCCCGAGAGCUUCGAUUCCUUCAGCUCAGCCAGUCUAAUUGGGUGGCUGCACCUGAGGGGCCCAAGCUUGAAACAGGAAGUGCCUCGGUUUGAUAACUUAGGUGAUUAGCAUUGUACUAGAGUGACCUCUGCGACAAAUUCAGUUACCGCAUGGUCCAGCUAGCACUGCUGAGAGCCAAGCUCUGCCCCUUGAACGGCACCAAUAAAAGCAGGAUUCAGAGAGCCAGAGUACCUGACUCCAGACCCUUCUUCAUGCAAGUGGAGUGAUUUGGUGAGCUUCCUAGUGAUGAUGGAUCAGCCCUGUCAUCUCUAAGAAUCAAAUGUUCUGGAAAGAGUAUAGGUGGAUCUAUAAAUUUGCUAGAAAACAAAGUAUUUUGACACUUUUGCCAGCCUGUGUCCUGAAUUGCACUGAAGUAAUUGGUGUACUGGAACUGCUGGGAAACAUGAUCCAGUCAUCGAAACCAAGUGGACUGUGGACCAAAUGCAUUGUUUUAAAUCACAGAGAGUUUUUAAAGGGAGUUAAAGUUGGCAGCAANCCUCAUUGUUAUACAAAAUUACAUAUAAGAG